rnacentral:lncRNA from 1 species
ACAGUUACAUUGAAUUAUGUGAUUUGUAGUUUUCUUACUAGGAAUAAAGUGAUAUGAUGAUAACUUGGGAAUUCAUCAUAGAAGCCUUGAAGACUUUCAGCAGGAAUAUGCAUGCAUGCUUUCCAAUAAGGCAAUGGGUGGUGGAGCCAUGACCAUUACAUGUUUUUGCCAUGAUUGCAUGAAAGAUUUUGUUAAAACCUAGUUUCAUACUUAGAUGUGCAUGCAUGAGAGGGAGGGUGAGAAUGAAAUGUUAACUAUGGAAUACGAAUUUAAAUAAGGUCAUGUGCUUCCUUUCAGUUAACAAAAAUAAUUGCACAUUGUAAGCGCUGGUCAUUUAUAUUUAAUUAAAAAAAACCUAGAAAUACUACCUCUAAGGUGGUCUUCUUUAACCCAAAAUACACUCCAUAUAUAAAAAGAAUACUCUUAUAUGGCGAUGGUUUUUUUUAUAAAAAUAUUCUGUAUUGUGUGCACGAAUUAACAAUUUUUUUUUUUAAUUUAAAAAAAGUUAUCAUCUAAAAGCUACAUCUAUUUGCGUUGGUUAUUAUCGAACAACAUUAAAAGACAGAGAAAUCAAAACUGUAAGUAACAAACACGUACUAAUGGAGGUCUUUAAUUCUUUAUGUCAGAGUGCAAUUUCUAAUCAAUUUCCGUUGUAAAUUUAAUUUAAAUGUUAAUUUUCUAGGUUUCUGGGCCUAAUUUGUCUACUUUUUUUAUUUUUUCUAUUUUUAAAAGUUUUUCUAAUUGUAUUUCUAUUAAAGCUCUCGAUAUUGCAUUCCAUGUUUCCAUUUGUGCAUGUGUACUUGCAACCAAUGCAUAAGCCAUAAAACGAUCUUGCAUUGAAACUAAAGAAGAUUUUGCUUUGCAUUAUUUUUCAAACUUUUCCAAGUUUCCAAGUAGAGCAAUGUGUCAAACGUUUCCAAGUAAAGGUUCCAUGAGACUCAUCCAUUCUUAAUGCACGGGGCAGAGGUUGAAGUCUAAAACCUAUACAUGACCUAGCCCGAAGCGGAUAGCUUUUCUUAAGGUUUUUAAGGGUUUAGUAAUGAUUCAUCUUUGCAUGGUAGCCUACCAAACCUAACAAUAUAUUCAAAGCAUAUUAGUCGACUUGAUGGUCUCAGAGUUGACGUCAGAGGAACUGUGACUAAGAUUUUUGAGGCCCACUUCUUAUCAGUUGACUUGAUACGUGGGUUUGCUUUGCUUUGUGUUCGAAAAUAUCUCAGCUGCUAUUGAAGGAAUUUGACUUGACGUUUUCAUUUGCGAUAUGUGAUUUGUGUGUUUUAAAGCCAAGCUGAUAUUUUUUUUAUUUUUUAUUUUUUUGGUUUGGGGGGAGGGGGUUCUUAGCUUAUUGCAUGCAUGUGUAGUUUGGUUACUGUUGAUAUUACUUUUUGUAAUAAAUUCUAAUGAAAUAGGUAAUAUAUUCUUUGUACUUGGUUUCUCUUGAGAUGAUUAGUCCCUUUCUUGGGUCUGCAAUAUAUAAUUGGAGGAAAUCAAAUUUUGGGUCUGCAGAAAAUUGGAAAUCAAAGUUUGCAUUAUAAUUGAAACUGAAAUUUCUCUGAUAUCUGGUUAUGUUAGUUAUAGAAACCAAAGUCAGAAAAUAAUUCAAUCAAAAGCCAUGCACACAUAUCAUACAAUGAUAUCAUUUAUUAGUCUUAUACAAAAAAAAUAAAAAUAAAUAAACAUGAGUGUAUCUCUGUGUUUGCAAACCAGAAGUUUGAAUAAUGGGGGUUAAAUUCUUUUCCAUGUUUUUGUUUCUCAUGUAUGCUUAGUCACGUUAAUUUUUCUGUCUAAUAAUUUACUAGUGAACAUGCCAAUUGAUUGUUUUUUUUAAUCCUUUUCUGUUGUGAAGUAUCAAGGAUGUUAUUGAAAGGUACGAAGUGCGCACAAAUGGUGUCGAAAAAUCGGAUGAACAGUCUCUUGAGCUGCAGGUAAAUGAGUUCAAUGAUUUUCCCUUUCCCCCUUUUAAUUGUUCUGCAAUUAAUUGUAACAUACUCUGUGAUCUGCACUUUGGAGCUUCAAAAUGUAUCUCUAUAGCAUCCGACGGUUCUGAUUGUUUGAACAUAGAUAAAAAAAGCAUUGUCAGACUCAUGUAUAUGCAUGCAGCAGGGUCGGCCUCUUGGGCUAAAUAUAUAUAGGUGGCUUUGAUAAGUCCCAACUCUAGUGGGACUUCAUCUGGUGUACAUAAAGAAUUAGCCAAUGAAAAAUUGGAACAUAGAAUCAUCAUCAAAUAUCAAUUAUUAUUUACUUUUACCGUUGGUUGUUUUCCAAGCGUUCCUUUUUUUCAUUUUUAAUUAUGCUAAAGGUAGAGUGUGAAGUAUUGUAACCAUUUGAGUUACAAAUUCAUUGUUUUUCAAACUUUAGUUUUAGGGGCAUGCAGCUGAUUUAAUUUCUUAUGAUAGUUGAGUUGGAGACUUCUAUUGAAUCGAUAUUACAGCCUCCUAGAGUAUCAGUUUUUUCUCCCUAAUUUUAAUAACUUAUUGGUUUAGAAAAAAGAAAAGGAACGAUUUUACUUUUUUGUUUUGAAAUGAGUGAUUUUCUGUCCAAAAUGUAGUACGAUUUUACUAUUAUGUUUUGACAAUAUUGAUUAGGGGUGGGAGGCCAUAGGCUUAAGUACAUCAGUUAAAGGUAACCAAUAACCGUAGCUCUCACGCAGCUGAAAACAGAGACCAACCGCACUCGCAUCUAGGCUCUCACACCGCAAUCACAUUAAGGGGAGGAGCUCCACCCCCCUUCUAACGUCCUCGUUGGCCCACUCUAUCUACACUGACUCGGUGGUAGCCUUUUACUUUCUUUGAGGCGGCUUCACUCAACUAUCAGUAUUCAGUGAUCAAUAUCAUGCCCAUACAUAACACCGAUCAUCUUAAUCCAAUGUAUAGGUCACCCCUUUUGUGGAAUUGGGCCCAGUUGCGUGGUGAACUCAGGCUUUGAUACCAAAUGUUAAGAACUCAUGGGUAGAAUUUGCCCUUAAAAACCGGCUUGUAAGGAAAGGAUGCCCUUGAACUCUUAAACCAUUCUAUAGGAUAUGCUCUUUUUCCAAUGUGGGAUCUUGAGUCCUAACAGACGGCUAAUCUUUGCCCCCCUCUAUUUUAAGCCCCUAUGUCUCUCAUCUCCUCUAAUUUCCCUUCUCCUCCUCUCAUCCCCUCACCCACACACCAGUUCCUUUCUCUCCCCCUUCCAUGAGAUUUGAAACCCUAAAAUCCUCCUCUCCCCUUACGAUUUUCUUAGUCUAUUGGCUUGUUGCAGCUGCUUCUCCCUCCAACCCACCCUCAUAUCUGGCUUUUGCUAUGGACGUGUGGUGGACUAUGUCAUUUAAUGGUCAAUUUUGACCCCCCCUGGAUCACUUGAGUAUGAUGAAUGUUGGUGGCUUGCUCCUCCAAAUCCAUGCUAUACAAAUCCUUGUUGGUUUCUUUGGACAUUCUCCUUCUAACAGCGGCGGCGGCGGCGUCGAUUCUGUUUUUCUGUUUUGGGCCUAGAAUUGGGCUUUUAUUUUCUUUUAUUGGUUGAGCCCUUGUUUCUCUCUUUUUGACUUUGUAUUGGGUUUUAUGCCAUAGUAGUUAUGAUAUUUAGAACAUACAAUCCCGAUCUCUUGGACUACAGGGGUGCAAGAGUUAUGCCAUUAAUUUCUGUCAUAAUAAUUAUGAUAUUUAGAACAUGCCUCUGUUCCAAAACUGUAAACCAUAAAUAUUUAGAACAUCAACGCAUUCCACAAAUCAUGUCUCCACCUACAAAUCACACUAAACUUCACCCAAAACCGUAAAUAUGCCUCUAUUCCAGGUAUAGCCACCUCAAAACUUGUAAUCGAGGUUCCUAGAAACUUCAUACCUCUAGUCCAGGUAAUUAAACCCAUAAGCCACCUCUAGUCCAGAUAAUGAAAUCCAUAAGUUACCUCUAGUAUAGGUAAAAAUGAAACCUCCACAACAUAUAUAGUCACACCAAAGUAUAUUGAGAUGAAACUCCAUUAACAAAUGCUUUGAAAAACCUAAGAAAAAAUGCUGAAUUUAUCAAGGGUAAAAUUGCCAUAUUUGUUUCAAACUAGCAUGAUUGUAGGAGAUGCCUAAAUUUUAGGGAGGUGCUUUCAUAGACUUCCAUUUCUGGAAGUGGCAUACACUGUUAAUUCAUUAAAAAUUGUGGACAUACAUGGUGGUUGGACUACAAUUGAAAAAGUAGAGCAUGUGGACUGCCCCAUAAUUUUUCCCACUUGAAUUCAUCCCAAUCGUGUCCUACAUCACAUAUUGUGCGUCUCUAUCAACGCUUACAUACUUGCAGAGAUCCAAACCUUGAAAGUUGUCUAAUCUCUCUAGGAACCCCAAACCUCUAGACGGUGACAAACUCUCACUUUGAUUUCAUUUGAGGCUUAGCCCCUACAUAGCCUUUUUUAAGUAGGCUCACAGAGAACCCUAAUUUUGUUAGCUACCUAAAUCCUGAAGAAACUAGGAAAUCAAAAAUACCCAGAACGACCUCAAAACCCCAUGAAGAGAACAGAAAACAAGCAGCACAGUACAGUCCCCAUAAAAAUCACCUUGCCUGAAUGUAUACAAUAUUCCCACACGAAAAAAAACUGUAAACACGGGUUGAAGAACUCCAAAUUUAGAGCUGCUGCACAAGACUAACAUGAAUACUUAGGUCAAAAUUUCAUUAAAUUCUUUAUCUCUAUAGAAGUAGAGUGGCAUUGCCAUAAAGUCCACCAAGGAUAAAAAAAAUAAGUAUCUUAAGCUCUAAUAUUUGACCUAGCAAUAUCAUGGCCUAUGGAGGACUUUGAUUAUGCGAUUUUAACGUGCCAUCUUCCAAUAAAGUAAGAGUUGGGAUACCCUAUGUGUUAAUAUUGUGCUUUAGAUUUAAUCUGUUACCUCAAUUUAAUCAGUACAAGUUCUUAUUCUAUUUGCCUCAAUCGAAAAUUCGAAUUUCUGCGAGUUGGGUUUGUUGCUGUUAAUUAAUUCCCUAAGUUUUUCAAAGGUAUUAAUGACUACGACAAAUUGUAAAUCCAUGUUCUUGUAUGUUCAAGUAAUUCCAUUUCAAAAAAAAUAUUGUAAUCCUUUUUUUUUUUUUUUUUUUUUCCCAUUAUGUUGUUUUUUUGUUUCUUUACGGGGCUGACGUUUAAAAGCUUUUCAUGUAACAGAGACAGAUUAAAUUCUCUAAAUGAUGGUUCCAAUAUUUCUCAUUUUAGCUGGAGAAUGAAAACCACACCAAACUCAGUACGGAACUUGAGGAGAAGAACCGCCAGCUGAGGUACAAAUUUAUUAAAUCAUCAUGAACUUGUAAGAUAUAUGUGGCUGUUUAGCUGGUAUUGUUGUUUGAUGUUUCUGCUGGAAUUGGACUGGCUUGCAACAGGCAGAUGAAAGGUGAGGAUCUUGAAGAGCUGGAUCUGGAUGAGUUGCUGAAGUUGGAACAACUGGUGGAAGCAACCCUUGUCCGUGUGAUGGAAACUAAGGUCUGCCCCUUGUGUAUGCAGAGUAUAUUUUAAUUGCUCUGUGUUGUGAAAAGCAAAUAAACUAACAUCUAAAUGCAAAUUUCAGGAAGAACUGAUUAUGAGUGAUAUUGUGGCACUUGAGAAAAAGGUUAGAUGAUUGAUACGUACUCUGUAAAUGAAAACAAAUUUCAGCAUAAAUAAUCAGCAUAAAUAAUCAUAACAAAGUUUGGCUCUGGUUUUCUCUUGCAUGCACCAACUAUAAUUUCAGGGAACUGAGCUGGUAGAAGCCAACAAUCAGAUGGUGAUGUUAAGGGAGAGGGUAAGCAACAUAUAUAUUGUUCUUAAUAAAAGAUGGGUUGAUCCUUUUUUCUUUUUUUAAAAUAAAUAUUUUGUAUUUUUUGCAUAGCAGAUGGUGAUGUUAUCCAAAAGAAAUACUGGACCUGCGCUUAUGGAGCCAUCUGAAUCUGCUACCUCCACCAGCUGCAACAGUGCUCUCAGUCUCUCUCUUGAAGAUGACUGUUCCGACGACGUCGUUUUAUCUCUCAAACUGGGGUGAGCUAGCUUUCUUUUGCUUUGCUAUUUGUGUAUAUAUAUAUCUUUGCUUUUUAAGUUUGAUGAGAUCAGAGAAUAGAAGUUUUAGAAUUUUGAAUACUCGGUCGGUUGUCGUGCAAUACAGAACAACUAGGAUAUUUUCUGUACUUGUCAACUUGAUUCUGGGUUUCAAUUUUAACUUUACCAAACCAAAAAUAUUGGAUGUUUUCUGUACUUGACAAUAUUUUUUUAUUAUAGAAAUGUUAUUUGAAAGUCAUCAUGAGUUUCAGAUAUUUACAGUAAUAUGUUUUUGGAAAAAAGAUAUAUCAUUUGGGGCUAACCAAAGUGUUUUCACCUCUUUACCACUUACCCUCCCAAGCAUUUUAAUUAUUCAUGGUAUUUUAUUUAUUCUUCACCAUUUUUAAUAAAUUUUCUUUUCACUUUACUAUGAAUUUCAGGCGUCCCUAAUUUCCUUGGUUAAGAAGUGGAGAAAGAUGAAAGUUUACUCUCCUUAUAGCUAAAUAAAGAAAGUUGUGGUAUUGUGAGAUAUCGAUGAUUGUGUGUUUUAAUUUGAUAGCAGAUUGAAAAUAUUGAAGGGAGAGUAACUUUGUGUUGUAUCAAAACAUGUGUAUUACAUGCAACCUGUGACAUAUUGCUCUUUGACUUUGUAUUGUAUUUAGAACUCUGUAUCAAUGCAGCCUGCGUGGAGAGACUUGUUAAUUUUGUAUUGUUUGGGUUAUCAAUGUCACACAGGCUAACGGUACGCGCGGGUCGUAGACCGAUGUGCUUAAAGACUUAGAUGUCUUUCUUCAUUGUUUUCACGUUACAAAGCUCAUUUCAAGAUAUCGUGAAGUUUAGUCCCACGAAUGACAUUAUAGGUAAAAUUGUUUAUUUAUACUAUUACAACUCAUGUACACCAAAACUUAAACCAGACAAAAACAAGUGAAAUAAAUUUUUAAUGUAGGAACCAGAAUGUUUAAGAAGAAACUCAUAUAAUUGUCUGCGUGGAUUAAAUCAACACAAGUGGCCUGGGGAAAGUAACCUGAGCAAGAUAAAGACGAAGCCAUGUGUCAUGGUGGGCUCAAUCAAGUGGCUUGACAGCGCAUGACCUGUGUCAAAGUGCCAUCCUCCACACCCAAAAAAAAAAAAAAAAUUUCUUCUUUCCUUUGUAGCCUGACACGUAAUAAGAAUUUUACCGACAGAAAAAACAAAACUUAGAUAUUUCUGACAAACUCCUUCACAAAAAGUCAGAUGCCACAUUUUCUCAAGUCACAUAUCAACGGUGGAGAUUGCAUUCAUCAACGUCAACAGCAUCUGUGCCCGUCGAUUUGCUCAGGUUUCUUAACCUUGUUUCCCCAGAAGAUAAUAGAAGAAUAUAUUUUUCCAUAUAAAGGAAAAUUCAUAAAUCAUUUCAUUUCCUUUCUUGACCAACAACAAGACAGCAGCAGCAGCAGCCAUUUCUCUCUCUCAUUUCGAACGCAGACCCCGAAACCCACCAACGAAGGUAAACAUUAAACAAAGAGGAAAACCCAGAAUUUAAUUCAUUAGGGUUCUUCUCCUCCUCUUCUUCUUCUUCUUUGUGUUUUGGGUGGUGGGUUUUUCUGGGUUUUGUUCAUUUAGAUCUGGGAACCAUUAAAAGUUUAAAAUUGAGAAGAAACCCAGAAAAUAUUGUAUAGUUUUUGAGUGUAUGUGAAAAGUGGUUGGUUUGAAUUUUUUUGAAGAUGAUGAGGAAUAAGAUCAAGAUCAAGAAGAUUGACUACUUGCCUGCAAGGCAGGUGACCUUCUCAAAAAGGAGAAGAGGGCUCUUCAAGAAAGCUGCAGAGCUAUCUGUUCUGUGUGAAUCUGAGGUGGCAGUUGUCAUCUUUUCUGCUACUGGCAAGCUUUUUGAUUAUUCAAGCUCAAGGUACCAGCAACAUACCUUAUAAUUAUUUUGACUUUUCCUUCCUUGAAAAAAUAACAAUAUGUAUGAUCAUGAUGUCUCUGAAGUCUGAUGACUUCACUUCUCUCUGUGUGGGUGAGAGAGAGAGAGAGGGGGAGGGAGAUUCUGAGAUCCAGUCAUUUGGUUAGAAAUAUAUUUAGAGGAGAGGGAGAGUGCCUUUAUGGAAAUUUCCUGUCCUUCCAGAAAUUCCAUGGUUUGAACUGUGCAAACAGACAUUAUUUAUUGUAUCUAAGCUUCCAACAGAAAAAAUGGAGAAUCCAGAAGCUUCCAGAGAGACUUUUAGAUAGGUUUUUUUUCUGUUGUCGUCGAAAUAUACUUUUAGAUAGUCAUACUCUGUUUCAAAAAAACCUAGUUCGAGGGUCACUACCUUGUAUAUCUAUCCACUUAAGGAAAAUAAAGUCUGCUUUUGACUAAGACAACUUCUGGAAAGAUGUGGUGUGUAUGAUGGUGAUGUUCUUUUCUUGUACUACAUGCAUGCAUAUGUAAAACUGUGUACGUAUAUAUCUUGUUUAGCAAAUUCUGUAAUCUUAAACCCUUAUACACAAGUAUAUCUCGCUGCUUCAAUCUCAUCCUUUCCCACCUAUCACAUGUUGGUAAUAGAUAUUAUAUAAUAUCUUAGGUGGGGCCUAUACAAUGAAGAAUAUCAUUGUCCAAGUCCAAAUUAAAAUUAAUGUUCCCUUGUGAGAGACACGAUAUGUUAGACCAUCAAUCGAAUCAUACACUCAAAUAAUAUAACAGACUUUUUUUAAAUUCAUAGUUUAACCACAUAAAAUGAUAGUGACUAUAGCUAGUGAGUGAGUAUUCGACCCUUUACAAUAUGUAUAUACAUCUAUAUGUAUAUAUGUUAUCCUUCGAACAUUCUUCCCACUUAAAUUAAUGUUCUCUUGUGAGAGACACGAUAUAUUAGACCAUCAAUCGAAUCAUACACUCAAACAAGAAAGCAGAUUAACAAUUCUAGAUUCGUAGUCUGAUCACAGGAAAUGUUAGAUAAUCUAGCUAGUAAGAGAGUAUUUAACUCUUUACCAUAUAUAUACAUAUCUAUAUGUAUCUUAUCCAUCGAAGUUAAGAUAUUUGUGGGUUGUGUUUGAAAAGGACCUAAAAGACAAAAUGCCCGUACAUUAAUGUGGUUGCAAACAUUGAAUUAUAUGUUUGUAAUUUUCUUACUAGGAAUAAAGUGGUAUGAUGAUAACUUGAGAAUUCAUCAUAGAAGCCUUGAAGACUUUCAGCAGGAAUAUGCAUGCAUGCUUUCAACUAGGGCAAUGGGUGGUGGAGCUAUGACCAUAACAUGUUUUUGCCAUGGAAUAAGAAUUAGAUGUGCAUGCAUGAGAGGAAGGAAAGAGAGGGAGGGUGAGAAUGAAAUGUUAACUAUGGAAUAAGAAUUUAAAUAAGGUCACGCAUCCUUUCAUUUAUAUUUUUUAAAAAACACACAAACUAGAAAUACCACCUCCAAAGUGGUCUUCUUUAACCCAAAAAUAUACUCUUAAGGUGGUCUUAUAUGGCGAUACUAUUUGCAAGAGAGUGAAUGUCGUUAAACAUUUUUUUUUUUUUUUUUUUUAAAAAAAAAGCUUUGAUACAAAUGGAGGUGUCAGUUAAAAAUAACAAAUUGGAGACGACAUUUAAUUGUUUAUGUCUGUAUGCAAUUUCUAAUCAGUUUCCUUUAAAAGUUAUUUUUCUAGGUUUCCUAAUUGACAUGUUAUAUGCAAAGUUAUUUUAUAUAUUUUUUUAAAGGUUUUCUAAUUGUAUUUAUAUUCAAGUACCAGAGUACUUGCAACCAAAACAAAAACCGUGAAAUGAAUAUUUUACUAUUACAUUAUUUUUCAAACUUCUCGAAGUUUCCUAGUAGAGCAAUAUUGGUCCGAAUUCUCCAAGUUUGGAAAAGUAUUGCUCUUGGAUAUUAUACUAUAUUUUCAAAGAUUUAUUUAGUAUUGUGUCGAAAUAUUUAUAUAGGAACUCCAAAGUCAUGUGUGUUCAUGAGACUUGCCCAAUAUUAUUAUUAAGUUUUGAGAUGUUUCAUUCAUAUUUGUAUUUUGAAACUCUUAAGGGCUUGUUUAGCGAGGCCAUGUUAUAACAUGUUGGAGUCCUUAGCCACUUACACCAAGUUUUCUUCCCAUUUUAGUCGGUUCACCACUUCAUAGUACAUCUUCUUCCCAUGUCUUAGGUCCACCACUCCCUAUGUUGUCACUUGGUUGUUUAAUGUUUUACAUGAUUCCAAGUUUUCUACUAGAUUUUCAUGUCCUAUUAGCCUAGCUUUGGGGAGUCUAGAUCCCCUUGUUCCAGUGGGAUAAUACUAUUCACUACAAGGGUGACUUUUUAAGAAAGUAACAAUCCUUUAGACCGAUAAGGAUGAUAAAUCAAGCUCAUAAUGUUGGUGCUAUGACUACCUAUGCAAGUACCAAAAAUGGGUCAAUUAAGGAGGUAGAAGUCGUAUGAUGAUUUUAGUCUUUCUAGAUGAUGCGAACAAAAUUCAAGAGCCGUGCGUCCUGUAAAAAGCUAGAUGAAGAUGGCUAAAACACUUGUUCGAGACACUACUUUGGACCUUUAAUAUUUUCUUCAAUUCUGUAAUUUGGUUGAAAAUACUUACAUUGUGGGCGUCUACUUGCAUUAAUGACGCAUCGUGACAAUCGGAUGACUAAAGAUUUAGCUUAAAACACACAACUUUGGAAUCCACCAUGAAGUAGUGAGGAAACCUUAAGUUUAUUGAUAAUCUGAAAUAACAUAACCUAACCCUAGCCACAGGUUAAAAAUUCUUUAAAUACCCUAGAAGCCCUACUAAUAAACAAGGAAUUAAAAUAGGAAAAAUUACAAAGUUUUCAAAAACUUAUAAGACAUAAAAACUGGAUUUUGGGUUGUUAACGAUCUCGGAUGCCUGAAAAAGCUGUUCUCUUCGAAUCAAUGGGUCAUGGGCCCAAACUUGCAGCUUUCUAAGUGUGCCCUUUAGCGCGCCUCUUCAACUCUUCUUCAAUUGCCUUCGACAUCUUUUCUACAUGAAUUAAGUAUGUUCAAAGAAGAGAGUUCUUGUCUAAGAUGUCUUAACCACGUUUUAGUAUUUCGAUCUCUAAGGGCGUAUUGAGGAAUGGAGAUGAUGAUGUCGGGACAUUGUAGAAAGCUGGUGUCGGGAUGAUGGUUGUGGAUUUAUUCACCUAGUAGUGACUUUUGAAAUGUUUUGCGCAAAAUGAGUGGCUUUCUUUACCCGUUUUCUAUUCUGCCUGAUGGCUUGUGAAAAUUUUGGUACAAACACUAACUUAACUAGUAUGUGGUUUAGUAAUCAAGCAAGCAAGAUCUUAGGCAGUAGAAGUUGCCUAAGAUUGGCGAGUUUUGGUUUUCGGAUGAUUGCCAAACCACGACAAGUUGGUUUGUUUAAUGGUUCUUUCUAGCUUGGUAUGAGGUCACUCUGGGGAGCUUGAGUUUUGGUUUAAGAUUUAACAAUCAAUCUAUUAGAAGAUACAUAAGUGUAACAAUCAAUCUAUUAAUAUUCAUAGGCGCGAAAGAUUUUUCCAAUGUAUUGUUUAUCAAUCUUUUCCACCAACAUCGAAUGACCCCAUACAAGGAAAAAUGAAUUCGAAUUCAAGUAAAUCUUUUUUUUUUUUUGUCAAAUGGUGAUAUUUCAUUUCGAAACCUCGUCAAAAAUGGGGAGGGCACAAAAACUACAAAACAAAGCAACCUAGAAAGGAAGCUCACUAAUACAAUGCGUCUGAUCUCUAUUAGAGAUACGAUAUAUAAGUUGGUCUCUAAAGAUAGUCACCCUAGCAUUUUCCAUAUAUAAAUGCCUUGUGUUGUAAACUAUCUCAGUUGCUUGUUGGGUUGGUCUUUUAUAUAUAUAUAGGGACAUUCUCCAAUAAAUAUUCAUUAAAUAUGUUGGUAGUCUCUUAGGGACCGUAUAUAUAUAUAUAUAUAUAUAUAGGUUUUCUAUAAAAUAUCUAUGAAGGAAUUUGAUUUGACGUUUUGAUUUGCAUAACCAAACCAUGCGAUAAAGCCAGCAGCAAAUAGCUUCACGUUCUCAUUAUGCAUAUAAAACAAGUAUUUAUUUCAUUUCAAAAUCUCCAAAAUCAUAGUUGUGAUGUGGUCUUGAAUGAAACCCUUUUCUGAUGCUAUCAAGGAACAGUACUAAUGGUACAAAAAUAUCCAAAUCUGUAACAUAUAUAUUUUUUAAUUUGUGGGGGAAGGGAGGGCUAAAUUAGUUAAUUUGCUUUUCACUGUUGAAUUUACUUUUUUAAUAAAUCAUAGUUAGAUUAUUGCAUGCAUGUCCAAAGUGGUUGGUUAGAUUAUUGCAUGCUAUUUUUUGUAAAAACAUCUAAUGGAAUUAUUCUUUGUACUUGUUUUCUCUUGAGAUGAUUGGGUUAUUCUAUGGUGUAGCCCUUUUUUGGAUCUCCAAUAUAUAACUGGAAAAAUUCUGGGUCUGCAGAAAAUUGGAAAUCCAAUCCUGGGUUUGCUUGUAUUUUGCUUUAUAAUUGAAAAUGAAAUUAUGGGUUUGCAUUAUAAUUGGAAACCAAAUUCCAACACAAAAAGUUCUGAAUUUUUUGCAGUGGGGGGUAAGUUGUAGAUCACUCUGAUUGCUGGUUAUGUUAGUUAGAGACACUUAAGUAUGAAAAUAAUUCAAUUUUUUGGCAAGAUGCCAUCAUGCUUUAUGGCUUAGCGUUGAAGUUAUGCCAGUGAUAAAUUGCAGAUUAUCAAAACCCUGAAUUAGACAUUAGUGUGUGUGUCUUGGUGUUUGCAAACCAGAAGUUUGAAUAAUGGGGUUAAAUUCUUUUCCAUUUUUUUGUUUCUCAUGUAUGUUUUGUCACAUGUUAGUUCUUCAAUGUCUUAACAAUUUACUAGUGAACAUGCCGAUUGAUUUUUAUUUUUUUUCGUUUUUUGUUAUGAAGUACCAAGGAUGUUAUUGAAAGGUACAACGCAGACAUAAAUGGUGUCGAAAAAUUGAACAAUCAAGAGAUUGAGCUGCAGGUAAAUGAGUUCAAUGGUUACCUUUUCCGUUUCCCCCUUUUAAAUUGUUCUGCAAUUAAUGGUAACAUACUAUGUAAUCUGCACUUUGGAGCUUCAAAAUAUCUCUCUAUGUAGCAUCUGAAGGUUCUGAUUGUUUGAACAUAAAUAAAAACAUUAUUUCCUGUUACAUGCCAGACUUAUGUACAUAUGCAUGCAGCAGGGGUCGGCCUCUUGGGCUAAAUAUAUGUAGUUAGGUGGCUUUGAUAAGUCCAUUUCUAGUGGGACUUAUGAAUUUGGUCUACAGAUGGAAGGAAAUAGUAGUCUUGGGCCAAGUCCUGGUGUUGUUUUGAGAAUUAGCCAAUGAAAUAGAUUCAUCAGCAACUAUCAAUCAAUCAUAUUUUUUUUCAGCAAAAAAUACCCUGAACGAUCGCAAAACCCACAAAAAUAAAUAAUAAUAAUAAUAAUUUCCCUUGUUGCCCCAGCACCAGAAGACUCUAAACACAAAAAUUUGGAGCAGCUUAGCACAAGAAUAACAUGAAUACUUGGGUCAAAAUUUCAUUAAACUCCUUAUCUCUAUAGAAUUUGAGUAAUCAGGAAAGAAACUCUGUUUUGGUGCUAGAGUAGUGGUUGGUUGGGGAGUAAAAAUGUUGAAGUUUUUGCCCUAACAAUAUGGAUGAGUGGUAUCCUGCCAUCUUCCAAUAAAGUAAGAUUCCCCUACGUGUUAAUAUUGUGCUUUAGAUUUAAUCUGUCAUCUCAAUUUAAUCUGUCAUCUGUUCUUUUUCCAUUUGCCUUUAUCUAAGUUGGGUUUGUUGCUAUUAAUGAAAUCCCUAAGUUUUUCUAAGGUAUUAAUGACUAGGACAAAUUGUAAAUCCAUGUUCUUGUAUGUCCAAGUAAUCAUUUGAUUCCAUUUUCAAAAAUAUAUUGUAAUCCUUUUUGUUUUUUUUUCCCCUUAUAUUUUUCGAUGCUGACGUUUAUAAGCUUUUCAUUUGACAGAGACAGAUUAAAUUAUGUAAUGGUUCCCAUAUUUAUCAUUUUAGCUGGAGAAUGAAAACCACAUCAAACUGAGUAAGGAACUCGAGGAGAAGAGCCGCCAGCUGAGGUACAAAAUUCAUGAUCUUGUAAGAUAUAUGUGGCUGUUUAGCUGGUAUUGUUGUUUGAUGUAUCUGCUGAAAUUGGACGGGCUUGCAACAGGCAGAUGAAAGGUGAGGAUCUUGAAGGGCUGAAUCUGGAUGAGUUGUUGAAGUUGGAACAACUGGUGGAAGCAAGCCUUGGCCGUGUCAUGGAAACUAAGGUCUGCCCUAGCUAUUUUAUUUUCUAGUAACCAGUGCCCUAGCUUCUUCUUUUUCUUUUUCUUUUUUUUUCUUUUCUGGAUGAUUCUUGACUGAAGACAUAAGCAAUGAACCGUUAGAAUAAUAUAAAGUAGGUCUUUGUUUGAAGAAGUAUCGUCUCAGUAAAUAGGGUAUAUUUUUAUUGCUGUAUUUUGUGAAAAGCAUAGGUGUAUUCUGAGUUGUCACUAAGCUUUAUUUUCUGAAAACUAACAUCUAAAUGCUGUUCCUUUCUUUUCCAGGAAGAGCUGAUUAAGAGUGAGAUUAUGGCACUUGAAAGAAAGGUUAGAUGAUUGAUACGUACAGAUCUGUAAAUGGAAACAAACGUAAAAUAAUCACGACUUAAAAACAUAUAUAAAUUAACAUCAAUAAUCAUAACCAAGUUUGGCUUUGGUUCUCUCUUUCAUUCACUGACUAUAAUUUCAGGGAACUGAGCUAGUUGAAGCUAACAACCAGCUAAGGCAGACGGUAAGCAACUACCACAAUCAUGUACAUACUUCUUCUUACUUUUUCUUCUCCUCUUUUUGUUUUUUGAGAGGAAGAGUGCUCUUAAUAAAAGAUUAUGGGUUGAUCUUUUUUUCUCUUGUAAUUUUUUGCAUAGCAGAUGGUGAUGUUAUCCGGAGGAAAUACUGGACCUGCGCUUAUGGAUCCGGAGAGGUUGAAUAAUAAUAUUGAAGGUGGAGGAGAAGAAGAAGGCAUGUCAGCUGAAUCUGCUAUCUCCACCACCUGCAACAGUGCUGUCAGUCUCUCUCUUGAAGAUGACUCCUCCGAUGAGGUCACUUUGUCUCUCAAACUGGGGUGAGCUACUUUUGCUAUUUGCUAUUUAUAUGCUUUUAAGUUUCAUCUGAGAAGACAUGCUUGAUCAUUGCUUUAUUUGAUGGUACGCGGGCGUCGUGCAAUAAGAGGGAGGAGGAUAUUUCCCUUCCCUUGUGUUGUGAGGGUUUUGCUUAGAUUUAUUUCUGUACUUGUCAACUUUAUCUUGGGUUUCAUUUUUUAACUCUACCAAACCAAAAUAUUUGGAUUUUUAGAAAAGAAAAACUAUGAAUUGCUUAUCCCGCCGACAUUUUUUUUAAAUAUAGAAGUAUUGACAAUUCUCAGAAGUCAUCAUGAAUUUCAGAUAAAUUGUACAAAAACAAUUGCGCGAUGAUUUAUUUCCCAGCAACUUCAAUAUUUUCAGUAAUACAGUAUAAGUGCUCAUUUGGGCCUAACUGUUUUCACCUAUUUACUACACCGGAGCUUCUACAAUGAGGAGUUUAGAGUGAGGAGCUUAUUUGAGGGGUUUAAUCCCACUAUCAAACUAUUUAAAAUGUUUAAGUUCAUUGAUUUUCUCCCAUUUGUUGAUGGUGGGAUUGAACUCUUCAAAUAAGUUCCUCACUCUAAACACUUCAUUAGAGCCUUUCCGUCUACAUACUAACCCUCCCAAUUCGAUUGAAGAUGUUUUAGGGGUUUGUAGAUCAAGUUUCUUUUGAGGUUUCAUUUUUAUGUAUUUGGGCCAUUUCAUUUUUUGAGUUUAUUUAAAUUGAAAGAAGUAAGUGACUUUCACUGAAAUUUCACAUUUUUUUAAAUUAUAUUUUGUUAUAGAAAAUAAUAGAUGGCUUAUGUGAAUUAACGUCAUCGUUAUUGCAUAGUAUGGCAAUCUAAAUAAAAUUAAUUUAAACAUUUUUUUGUAUGAAAAUAAAAAUAAUUAACUUUCCCGCAUUGUUUUAUGAAAAUUACAGAAAGCUUCAGUUGAAGAAUCCCAACACUGAAAGGGGCUGAAAAUGUAGGGGAGAAUUUAUUCCACACCCACUAUGACAGCGUAACCUGCAUAAUACAAGUUAAAACAUCCCCACAAACAAAUGUUGGUGCACAGUUGCAUUCAUGGAAUUUUAUUUAUUCUUCACAUUUUAAAUAAAUUUACUAAUCAUUUUGUACGUAUUUUCUCUGAAUUUCAGGCGUUAAGAAGUGAAGAAAGAUGAAAGUUUACUCUCCUUAUAACUAAAUAAAUAAAGUUGAGGUAUUGUAAGAUAUCAGUAAUUGUGUGUCUUAACUCGACAUAACAUUGAAAAAUAUCAAAGGGAGGGUGACUGUGUGUUGUAUCUAAACCUAUGCGUUACAUGCAAGCUUGAAAUUGCUCUGACUUUGUAUUGUAUUUAAAACUCUGUAUUAAUGCAGCUUGCAUGGUGAGUUAUGUUGAUUUUGAAUUUGCUUGGGUUAUCAUUGUCACAGCGAGACACGUACUGUUUGCGUGGAUUAAAUGGAUAAAAGUGAACUGGGGGGAAGGAACCUGAGCAAGAUAUAGACAGCCACGUGUCGCAUGGUGGGCCCAAUCAAGUGACAUGACAGCGAAUGACCUGUCUCCAUCCGACUCCACAUAAAAAUAAAAUUUAUUCAUUUUUUUGUAACCCUACACGUAGUAAGAAUUAAACCGACAACAAACUAAACUUAAGAUACUUCUGAACGAAAAAACAUAACUUAGAUAUGGACAAAAUCGAUCACAAAAAGUAAGAUGCUACAUUUUGUGCUGACGCAUUACAAGAUCAACGGUGGAGAUUGCAUGCAUCAACGGCAAGGUGCAUCUGUCCCCGUCGAUUUGCUCAGGUUUCUUACAUUGUUUUCCCAGAAGAGACCGAAAGUAAAGCAGAGGAUAAUAGAAAUAGAUGUUUUCCAUAAAAAGGAAAAUUUCCUUUCUUGAACAACCAGCCACCACCAGCAGCCGCCCUUUAUCUCUCUAGUUCUCUUAGUUUUUCUGGACAGACCAAAACUUCAGACCGGGCUGAAACCCCGACAAAGGUAAACAUUAAAAACAGAGAGGAAAACCCAGAGAUUAAUUAAAUUAAUUAGGCUUCUUCUUCUUCUUCUUCUUCCUCUUCUUCUUUUUGUUGUGAACUUGUGACCUAUUUUGGUUGGUUUCUUCUUCUUCUUCUUUUUGUUGUGAACUUGUGACCUAUUUUGGUUGGUGGGUUUUUUCUGGGUUUUGUUCAUUUAGAUCUGGGGACCAUUAAAAGGUUAAAUUUUGAGAAGGAACCCAGAAAAUAUUGUGUAGUUUUUGAGUGUAUGAAGAUAAUAAUAUAUGUGAAAAGUGGUUGGUUUGAAUUUUUUUGAAGGGAAACGGUGAAAAUGAUGAGGGAGAAGAUCAAGAUCAAGAAGAUUGACUACCUGCCAGCAAGGCAGGUGACCUUCUCAAAGAGAAGAAGAGGGCUCUUCAAGAAAGCUGCAGAGCUAUCUGUUCUGUGUGAAUCUGAGGUGGCUGUCAUCAUCUUCUCUGCUACUGACAAGCUCUUUGAUUAUUCAAGCUCAAGGUACCAGCACCCACCACUAAAUACCUUAUAAUUCUUUUGACUCUUUCCUUCCUUGCAAUGAUAACCAAUAUGUAUGAUCAUGAUGUCUGAAGUUUGACUUGAC